CUUGAGGCGUGGCUUCCGGAGCUAACGCGUUAAGUAGACCGCCUGGGGAGUACGGCCGCAAGGUUAAAACUCAAAUGAAUUGACGGGGGCCCGCACAAGCGGUGGAGCAUGUGGUUUAAUUCGAUGCAACGCGAAGAACCUUACCUGGUCUUGACAUCCACAGAACUUUCCAGAGAUGGAUUGGUGCCUUCGGGAACUGUGAGACAGGUGCUGCAUGGCUGUCGUCAGCUCGUGUUGUGAAAUGUUGGGUUAAGUCCCGCAACGAGCGCAACCCUUAUCCUUUGUUGCCAGCGAUUAGGUCGGGAACUCAAAGGAGACUGCCAGUGAUAAACUGGAGGAAGGUGGGGAUGACGUCAAGUCAUCAUGGCCCUUACGACCAGGGCUACACACGUGCUACAAUGGCGCAUACAAAGAGAAGCGACCUCGCGAGAGCAAGCGGACCUCAUAAAGUGCGUCGUAGUCCGGAUUGGAGUCUGCAACUCGACUCCAUGAAGUCGGAAUCGCUAGUAAUCGUGGAUCAGAAUGCCACGGUGAAUACGUUCCCGGGCC
rnacentral:rRNA from 1 species